rnacentral:pre_miRNA from 1 species
GGUCAUGCUAUUCCACAGCUUUCUUGAACUUUCUUGAACUACUUUCUUGAUUUCUUUCUUUGUUUUUGGUUUUUGAAGAUCUUUUCACCAGUAGAAUCAUGAAAGCUCAAGAAAGCUGUGGGAGAACAUGGCAU